GCCUGUUUUCGGAGGUUUUGGGCAGGCAGCAGUUGCAGACACUUUGGAAGUCUCCGAUCACUGAAAGGAAAAUAUUAUAUCAUCAAGAUAAGCAGUUCCAUCUUAGGGCAUCACUAUCAAUGACAUUGCAUUCCCGAGGACAGAACCCGUGAUGUUAGGGUCCGUAGCCAUGCAACGUAACCACUAGACAAAAGUGAUCACCCUUGUCCAGAGGCUGUUAACUGGCUUAUGAAGAUACCACCACAAUAUUCCCCCACCAGUGAGUCGGCAGAGAGAUGAUACGAAAGGUUCCAUUGCGACGGCAGUGCGGCAUGGCUCAAAGACAUCACUUUUCAGAAUUCCACACUUCUGUUGUGCCCAGCCUUUUCUUUCGGGAUGGAUGGCGCAAGUGUCUUCUAUCGCUACAGGUCCAGGGC